UACGUAGGGUGCAAGCGUUAAUCGGAAUUACUGGGCGUAAAGCGUGCGCAGGCGGUUUUGUAAGUCUGACGUGAAAUCCCCGGGCUCAACCUGGGAAUUGCGUUGGAGACUGCAAGGCUGGAGUCUGGCAGAGGGGGGUAGAAUUCCACGUGUAGCAGUGAAAUGCGUAGAGAUGUGGAGGAACACCGAUGGCGAAGGCAGCCCCCUGGGUCAAGACUGACGCUCAUGCACGAAAAGGCGUGGGGAGCAAACGAGGAUAC
rnacentral:rRNA from 1 species